CAGCAUGGUCUUAGCUUGCUAAGGCCGAUGGCGACCGGCGCACGGGUGAGUAACGCGUAUCCAACCUGCCUUACACUCUUGGACAGCCUUCUGAAAGGGAGAUUAAUACAAGAUGUUAUCAUGAGUAAGCAUUUUCGCAUGAUUAAAGGUUUACCGGUGUAAGAUGGGGAUGCGUUCCAUUAGAUAGUAGGCGGGGUAACGGCCCACCUAGUCUUCGAUGGAUAGGGGUUCUGAGAGGAAGGUCCCCACAUUGGAACUGAGACACGGUCCAAACUCC
rnacentral:rRNA from 1 species